ensembl:lncRNA
AAGCAGACUGAGCCUCUUCUCUUAUCAUAGCGGUAAAGUCUGCUGCAGUGUUUGGGGAGCUGUGGAAUUAAGGACUUUCCAGCACGGCCACCAACACAGCAGAGGAGCACUUCACAGCACUUGACCUCGUCACCUUCUAGAAGGAUGUUACUCAUUUGUUUACAAGUCAUGUCCUGCUGCAGUUCAGACAAGAAAUACGAGCAAUCAGGUACAAUGAGGCCCCAAACGACCAGAGUUCUCUUGAGACCUCUGCAAACUGUGGUCACUGACUUAGAGCCAGGUGACAGAUCUCUCUCAUCCUGCAGUCAUCCUGGAUUUAACAAAGAAGAAGAAAAUUCUAAUUUAGCUCCUGGUGCAGCAUUUCAUGCAACACUGAUGAAUUUUAAGAACUGAAAUGAGCCAGUAUUGCCCUUAAGAGGAAGCAGAUGUAAAUAAAGUAUUAUUAUAACUGAGAUGGUUGAGGGACACAGAGGUACAGUCUUGCAAAAUUAGAUAAUACAUUUGAUUAUUAACAGUUGAUAUGUUUGGAAAAAAAUAAAAAUCAAAAAUCCACAUUUUCAGUCCCAGAGUUCCAUAAACAAGCAUCAGCAUAGUGUAAGAAUGAAAUAAGUAAGUGCAAGUUACAUAGGCAAAGCUGGCAGGGAAGAUGAAAAAUACCACAGAGUAAAACAUAUGAAGCCAUAGUCCAGUUUGAGUCUGGUCAUGGCUCAGGAGCCUCUGAACAUGAUCUAUUUGGCACACAUCUUUCACUUGCACAUUUCAUACUGAGCGGUCUGGUGAAGGCACAGCAUCAGGCACAGUUCACUAAUGAGAUCUAAAAGGACAAGCAUAGUCAGGAAGCAUCAGGAUUCAUCCUGGCUGGGUGCUCUGAUAUUUUGUAGUCCACUCUCAAUAGUCUGCACCUAGCCAUAGUGGCCAUUGUUUUAUGUGGAAGGUGAAUGCUUCCAAAACUUGGCUAAGAGAAACAUUGUUUAGAUGCCUGAUUGAGAGCAGGAUCCUGGACCUUGCACAGACAAGGCAGAUGUGGCUGCCAAAACAAGUACAGGAAAAAUCCCUUAUCCAGAAAACCAACACAUAUCCUCUAUGUCAGAGGUAGAGAUUCAACAUUCACAGCAGAUCACAUUUUCACAAUUCUGGAUGUAAUUUUGGUCUUAAAAUGCAUGCUCCUCUCUGAGUCACUUCUGAGCCAAUCAUUUACGUUAAGUCUGGAUGUGCUGGUUUUUGACAUUUUGGUGUUUUCUUUUCAACACAAGUACAGCCUGGAUGACUGGCAACUUCAUUAACUCUGGACAUACAGAUACAGAUGUUCUCCAUGGCUUGCUCUGGAGACAAGUGUUUGGGAAUCUCAAAGUGAUCUCCCUUGCAUGCUAUCCCAAUGCCUGCUCAGUUGGGACUGUGGGAGAUAAGUCACAUCGGAACAGCAAGGUGACAAUGGAGCUGAAAAUUAUUUAUUUAUCUACCUCUUAACUAAUUCUGACUGUUUCAUUGCUACCCAGUGUGAAUAGCUCCCCUUACACAGAGCUUUUACAGAUUAGAUAUCAAUAAUACAAAAAGUAUGUGAACAUAUGAUUUCUAGUAUUUCAUGUGAGUUCUAGGCAAACUGCAAUCUGUUCAUCAUUAACACUGACAGAUUUGGUCAGGAGAUGCUUUGUUUGGACACAUCUAUUAAAAGAUGCAUUCCUUCUCAACUUUCCUCUCAGCAUAUGAGGUAGCAGAAUGUUGUAACAUAUCUACAUGUUGUGAAGCUUUGGAUUGUUCUUGUCUUUAGGAACAGGCUUACACAUUUGUUCAGAAUGAUAAGACAACAAAUUCUGCCUUGUGUAAGAGUGAUGGAUUUGACUUUGCUGCCCCUGGGCUAUAUUGAAGUUCCUAUGAAAUCAGUGUCACAUACACUAUGAUGCUCUGUCUUCUUUAACUGUUAAAAUAUUAAUUAAAACAAAAGCUAAUUGACAAGCUGGAGCUGAAUGGAGGAAUUAUCUAAUAAUGUAUGAUUAAACAAUAGUAAACAAGGUCACUGCUUGACUAAAUAUUCAGUAAUUAGUAAUUAGAUUUUGUCGGUCGAUCUCUUUAAAAGACCUGAUUGGAGAUGACCUCUUUCUUUUAGAUUAAAUGUCUGCUCAGGCUGAGUUAUUAUUGAUCAAGAAGCUGACCUUACUGCCAACACUGGUGUUCCUACACUACUAAUCUCUUUGCAUAUUGUAUACACGUAGUUGCUGAAAAACUUCAAAGAGAUUCGAUCAAGUUGAUGAUUGCUUAGUUAAUUAACAGGGUGCCAUUUGUUAGUAUUCCAGACUGAGUUGCUCACUGCAGUCUUAGAGAAAUUACUCCUAGAAUUUAGUUAAAAAAAGAGACAGAGAAAAAAGACUCUGUGCAGUUUGCAUUCUAUGGGACAAGUCUUGCCUUUUUUCCCAGACAUCAGAAAUGAAGCUUUUUUUCUCCUCUCUUGUAAGCAGAGGAAGGGUGAAAUGAAAAAGGCAGUGCCUUUAGUUCUUUGCAUCCUGCAAGGUGAGCUUAGGUUCAUGAGUGCUUU